rnacentral:rRNA from 1 species
GAGUCCUUUACUGACGCUAAAGCUCGAAAGUGCGGGUAUCGAACAGGAUUAGAUACCCUGGUAGUCCGCACGGUAAACGAUGGAUGCCCGCUGUUGGCGAUACAUUGUCAGCGGCCAAGCGAAAGCGUUAAGCAUCCCACCUGGGGAGUACGCCGGCAACGGUGAAACUCAAAGGAAUUGACGGGGGCCCGCACAAGCGGAGGAACAUGUGGUUUAAUUCGAUGAUACGCGAGGAACCUUACCCGGGCUUGAACUGCCAGCGAACGAUACAGAGAUGUUGAGGCCCUUCGGGGCGCUGGUGGAGGUGCUGCAUGGUUGUCGUCAGCUCGUGCCGUGAGGUGUCGGCUUAAGUGCCAUAACGAGCGCAACCCCUUUUUUCAGUUGCCAUCAGGUUGAGCUGGGCACUCUGGAGACACUGCCGCCGUAAGGUGUGAGGAAGGUGGGGAUGACGUCAAAUCAGCACGGCCCUUACGUCCGGGGCUACACACGUGUUACAAUGGGUGAUACAGAGAGUCAGUGCAUGGCAAUAUGCAUUCAAUCAUGAAAGUCAUCCUCAGUUCGGAUUGGGGUCUGCAACCCGACCCCAUGAAGCUGGAUUCG